CAAGAUCCCUGAGUCACUCACAUUCUUCCAAUCAUAGAGCUGACCAUCUGCCUCCUGGGCUGCAUGGAGAGGGGGUCACCUGGCCAGAUAUUCUGGACAAGGGCUGACUCGAGGCCAGACCUUCCUCCAGACACAGAGCCAGGUCCUGAACUCAUGACCACGAUGGAAUGGAUAAUCCAGGAGGAUUGGAGAUGGCAGCUCUGCAGGACAAAGCCCCCACUCCCUCAUGUGGUCCCUCUUCUUUCUGCUAAAUGCAGAAGACUCCAAUGUCCCAGAGGAAAGUAGAACCACAAGACCAAAGAGCCUGGAUCCCUGAAUCACCACAUGGAAGACCUGUCCACCAAUGGGGAGUUAUUGCAUGCAUGAGAAAUAAAGUUUGUUGUAAAGCCAUGGAGAUUUGGAGUUUAUCUGUUACAGCAAUUGGUAUUACCCUAACUUAUAACCAAGUAGGAGUGGGAGAUAAAGUAUGCCAG
rnacentral:lncRNA from 10 species